AGUGAACGCUGGCGGCAGGCCUAACACAUGCAAGUCGAACGGCAGCACAAGAGAGCUUGCUCUCUGGGUGGCGAGUGGCGGACGGGUGAGGAAUGCAUCGGAAUCUGCCCAUUUGUGGGGGAUAACCUCGGGAAACCGGGACUAAUACCGCAUACGACCUACGGGUGAAAGCAGGGGAUCUUUGGACCUUGCGCAGAUGGAUGAGCCGAUGCCGGAUUAGCUAGUUGGAGGGGUAAAGGCCCACCAAGGCGACGAUCCGUAGCUGGUCUGAGAGGAUGAUCAGCCACACUGGAACUGAGACACGGCCCAGACUCCUACGGGAGGCAGCAGUGGGGAAUAUUGGACAAUGGGCGCAAGCCUGAUCCAGCCAUGCCGCGUGUGUGAAGAAGGCCUUCGGGUUGUAAAGCACUUUUGUUGGGAAAGAAAAGCAGCCGGUUAAUACCCGGUUGUCAUGACGGUACCCAAAGAAUAAGCACCGGCUAACUUCGUG
rnacentral:rRNA from 1 species